AAUGUCGGCCGUAACUAUAACGGUCCUAAGGUAGCGAAAUUCCUUGUCGGGUAAGUUCCGACCCGCACGAAUCGUGUAACGAGUUGACGACUGUCUCGGAGAGAUGCUCGGUGAAAUUGUAGUAGCGGUUAAGAUGCCGCUUACCCGCAGCAGGACGGAAAGACCCUAUGCACCUUUACUGUAAGCUGUUAUUGUCGCUUGAUUUUCAUUGCGUAGAAUAGGUGGGAGACGUUGAUACUUCACUCCAGGGUGAAGAGGAGUCACAAUGUGAAAUACCACUCUUUGUUGGUUAGGCGUCUAACCUCUUUCCAUUAUCUGGAGGAGGGACAGUGAUAGCAGGUCAGUUUUACUGGGGCGGUAUCCUCCCAAAAAGUAACGGAGGAUUUCGAAGGUUCCCUCAGCCCGGUCGGUAAUCGGGCUACAGAGCGCAAGAGUAUAAGGGAGCUUUACUGUGAGACCUACAAGUCGAGCAGUUGCGAAAGCAGGAUCUAGUGAUCCGGUGGUUGAAUGUGGAAUCGCCAUCGCUCAUAGGACAAAAGGUACGCUAGGGAUAACAGGCUGAUCGCGCCCAAGCGUUCACAGCGACGGCGCGGUUUGGCACCUCGAUGUCGGCUCAUCACAUCCUGGGGCUGGAGAAGGUCCCAAGGGUUCGGCUGUUCGCC
rnacentral:rRNA from 1 species